GGGCCGUUGGAUCAAACCGACAUAGAUUGUAUGGUUUAGAUUCAUCCUUUAGGUCGGUGGAGUUCUCCCACGAAGCAGAGUCCUGAUUGGACUCAGGAGGUGGGCGGGCGCCCUGAUCACCUGGGCGGGCGCCCAGGGUCAGGCCCCGUUUCGCCUCCGCUUCGGUCUCGUGGCUUCUGGAGUCUUCUAGAUGUAAGAUAAUUGCGUGGCACGUUAAUAUCUCUAUGUAAUCCCGACGUGUGGGCCUUUCUUCCGUAUUUCCUGAUAACCCCCUGCAGAAAUAGACAAACACCAAAACUCGUAGAAUUCUGUCAGAUAAAACCCUAAGUCUAGAUGUUGAUUUUAUUUGGAUCCUUUUCUUUGUUUAUUUGAUAAUUAAAUUUGAUACUUAAGGACCGUCAACAAACUCCCCCAAGCUUACCUCUUCCUCGUCCCUGAGCAAGGAUAGACUCAACAAUGGAUUAGAAGUUUUUGCAAUAUCUUUAAAAAUUGACGGUACACAUGCUUUUUAAAUAAGAUCUCAUCUCUGAGUUAGAGUAAACUGUCAAGACUUAAAACUUACUUUACCUUCACCAUGGGACUUGUAACUGUCACUUCUGUCUUGAGAGGUUAAAAGAUAGAACAGUCUAGCCAAGUGCCAUGUCUCUUAUUCUUGAUCAACUAUAGCUCUGGGGUUUUUUCCAGAUUUUCAAAUAAAACUCAGAGAUUCCUUGUAUGACUCUCUCAUAUCUCUCUUUUGUGGUAUUUCUGGAUCCUUACCAAGGCAUUGAUGGUAUAUGCCUUCUCUCAAGAUAUGUGGUAUUUGUGGUAUAAGGCAUAGUGACAUUGCCUUCUCUCUCACCCUACUCUAAUAAGGCUUGAUAUCUGGAGCUCAUAGGUGGGAGACAGCUAAUACAUACUUACAAGACAUUUAUUGCAUAGUCAAACCAUGGAUCCAGAGAAACAAAUCAAUAAGCCAAAUCAAGAUGUGCAUGUGUGGCGAAUGAAUGAUGUAUGGUGAUGAUGGUAAUAACAAUGGUGAAAGUCUAAUUCUACUUUUGCUCUUUUGAGGGGAUACAUACCUUCCUUGCUUUUUGAAACUUUAUGAGGAGAAUGAGAUGCUCUUCUUUUUCUUUCCUCUCAGGUGGGUAUCUUGUACCCCUAAUUCUACUGUCGGACACUUGUCCAUUUUUACCUCUCAUCUCACUUUUUCUUUCUUUCGAGGUUCCGGGCACUUGCCCCUUUUUAUUUCCUUGUUUAUAUAUAUUUUUUUCUUCUCUUUUCUUUCUCUUUUUUUUUCAGAGCACUCAUCUCUUGAGAUAAUAUAGCAAGUGGUAGUAACCAAAAUAUUUGGAGCAUUUAUUUCACAGGGAAUAACAGGGAUAGGAAAAUGUUUUUGACUAUUCUCUCCCGGAUUAGGAGUAGAAUAUUUUUGGGUGAUUCUGGAGAUGGAAAUGGAUGGAUAUAUUUGGAUGGUACUUCCAGAGUAGAAGUAGCAUAUAUGAGUGAACGUGCAAGUGAAUCUUGAUUUAACCACAUGACAAGUUCCUAAGGGUCUACACAGCUUGACCACACUCAAUGCUCAUAAGCAGUAAAAAGUAAAUGUAUGGUUCAUAGUCUAAUAAGCAUGUACAUAUGGCUAUGGUAGGAUUUUAAACUCUCAUCAUAUAGGAACUCAUCAUGCAACAUUUCAAAGAUUUUCAAAGAUAAAAUUCUUCAGAAUUCUAGCAUCUCUAGGAACAGAUAAACAGCAGCUCAACCUUCCCAUAUCGUAUCCGUUAACAACUUAGACUUCAGAUCAAGUUUUCAUCCCACAAGUUUAGGUCUAGAGCAAGAUUUAAAUUAUAACAGUUAUGUCUAAACUUGAGAGGGAACUUUAAAAUUCCAAAUUAGGCAGAACAACUAUUCAUCAUAUCCAUGCUAGAGUUUUAUUAUUAAGAUUCAGAUUAGCACAGCCACUUUAUUUAUUUAUUAAACAUACUAAGCAAAAGAUAUAUAUAUAAGCACAAAAUCUUUAUUUUGUUUUUUCAUAGUUUAUGUAUUUUAAUAUUCUAACAUAAUAUAAGUAUAAAGAUAGGUAGAAAUACUUAGCGAGAAUAAUGGGGGUGCUCUCUCCCAAGCUGAAUUUUGACGUAAUUUCUCUUGAUGUAGCUAGCAGGUGGCAGAGGUGUAUUUGAAAGUCAGCAGCAUUCUGACAGCGAUUAGAAUGUCCUCCGUCUGCUAGUCUUCUUGAUUCU
rnacentral:lncRNA from 1 species